GACGAACGCUGGCGGCGUGCUUAACACAUGCAAGUCGAACGGUGAAGCGCCUUCCUUUUUGGUGGGUGUGGAUGAGUGGCGAACGGGUGAGUAACACGUGAGUAACCUGCCCCCUUCUUCUGGAUAACCGCAUGAAAGUGUGGCUAAUACGGGAUAUUCUGGGUCUGUCGCAUGAUGGGUCUGGGAAAGAUAUUGUUUCGGUGGGGGAUGGGCUCGCGGCCUAUCAGCUUGUUGGUGGGGUGAUGGCCUACCAAGGCGGUGACGGGUAGCCGGCCUGAGAGGGUGGACGGUCACACUGGGAAUGAGACACGGCCCAGACUCCUACGGGAGGCAGCAGGGGGGAAUAUUGCACAAUGGGCGCAAGGCUGAUGCAGCGACGCCGCGUGAGGGAUGGAGGCCUUCGGGUUGUGAACCUCUUUCGCCAGUGAAGCAGGCCUGCCUCGUUUGUGGGUGGGUUGACGGUAGCUGGAUAAGAAGCGCCGGCUAACUACGUG
rnacentral:rRNA from 1 species